UACGAAGGGGGCUAGCGUUGCUCGGAAUCACUGGGCGUAAAGCGCACGUAGGCGGAUUGCUAAGUCAGGGGUGAAAUCCUGGAGCUCAACUCCAGAACUGCCUUUGAUACUGAGGAUCUCGAGUCCGGGAGAGGUGAGUGGAACUCCGAGUGUAGAGGUGAAAUUCGUAGAUAUUCGGAAGAACACCAGUGGCGAAGGCGGCUCACUGGCCCGGUACUGACGCUGAGGCACGAAAGCGUGGGGAGCAAACAGG
rnacentral:rRNA from 1 species